rnacentral:rRNA from 1 species
UACAGAGGGUGCGAGCGUUGUCCGGAAUUAUUGGGCGUAAAGAGCUCGUAGGCGGUGUGUCGCGUCGGCCGUGAAAACCUGUGGCUUAACUAUGGGCUUGCGGUCGAUACGGGCAUCACUGGAGUUCGGCAGGGGAGACUGGAAUUCCUGGUGUAGCGGUGAAAUGCGCAGAUAUCAGGAGGAACACCGGUGGCGAAGGCGGGUCUCUGGGCCGAUACUGACGCUGAGGAGCGAAAGCGUGGGGAGCGAACAGG